rnacentral:tRNA from 1 species
CGCGGGGUAGAGUAACGGUAGCUCGUCAGGCUCAUAACCUGAAGAUUGCCGGUUCGAUUCCGGCCCCCGCAA